rnacentral:rRNA from 1 species
UACGUAGGGGGCUAGCGUUGUCCGGAAUCAUUGGGCGUAAAGAGCGUGUAGGCGGUUCGGUAAGUCCGCUGUGAAAGUCGGGGGCUCAACCCUCGAAUGCCGGUGGAUACUGUCGAGCUAGAGUGCGGAAGAGGCGAGUGGAAUUCCUGGUGUAGCGGUGAAAUGCGCAGAUAUCAGGAAGAACACCGAUGGCUAAGGCGGUUCUCUAGUACGGAACUGACGCUGAGACGCGAAAGCGUGGGGAGCGAACAGG